rnacentral:rRNA from 1 species
UACGAAGGGGGCUAGCGUUGCUCGGAAUUACUGGGCGUAAAGCGCACGUAGGCGGAUUGCUAAGUCAGGGGUGAAAUCCUGGAGCUCAACUCCAGAACUGCCUUUGAUACUGAAGAUCUUGAGUUCGGGAGAGGUGAGUGGAACUGCGAGUGUAGAGGUGAAAUUCGUAGAUAUUCGCAAGAACACCAGUGGCGAAGGCGGCUCACUGGCCCGAUACUGACGCUGAGGCACGAAAGCGUGGGGAGCAAACAGG